rnacentral:lncRNA from 1 species
GUUGCGGAGUUGCGGAGGUUAGGGGUUUUAAGAGAGAGGUUUCGCCGGAGUUUGAUUGUUCAUGGCUCUGGACGGGGACGGAGGAGGAAUGGCGUAGUUGGAAUGCUGAAGGAAGUUGUUGCUCCCUACGAGGCAGCCAUGGAGGAACUGAAGAAGGAGGUGAAAGCCAGAGAUGUGGAGGUUGAGAAUCUUAAGGAGAAGCUUAAGAACUCUAUGACACUUGCUAAAGGCAGCAGCUAUGGCGGCAAGAAAGGAAGAUCUCAAUCAAAGAGGAAGGUCAGCUGCAGUUUUGGUCAAGGUAUGAGAUAAGAUAACCGCUCCAAUUCUUCAUGUCUAAUCAUAAUCGUAAACAUUAUGAAUCUCUAUGUUUAGAUUCUAUGAUCUACGACACCCCGCAUUGCAUAAUCAGAAUGAUUUAACGUGCAUUAAAUGGUUUAGGUUUAAGGUUUUGAAGUGAAUUACUUGAUUUUGCUAUACUGCUAUAACAAUUCAACAGGAAAGAACUUAGGAACGAACCCUAUUCAUAAUUAAUGGAGUUGAAGAUAAACUUUUACCCUUUUUAGUCGAUUGAAUUGAAUCUUUGAGACCAAUUUAUGGCAGUGGCGGCAUCCCCUGUUCCUGAGCUGUUCGAGGCCACAAUGAGCCAAGUCAAAGAAGCUUCAAAGGCCUUCACAUCGCUCUUGCUUUCCCUUAUGCGUUCUGCUCAUUGGGACAUUGCAGCUGCAGUCCGUUCCAUAGAAUCCGCCAUAGCUGAGAGUGACAACACCUACCUUGAUACUGUUGCUACUCCUCACC